CCUACGGGAGGCAACAGUGGGGAAUAUUGGGCAAUGGAGGAAACUCUGACCCAGCGACGCCGCGUGCGGGAUGAAGGCCUUCGGGUUGUAAACCGCUUUCAGUAGGGAAGAAGCGAAAGUGACGGUACCUACAAAAGAAGCACCGGCUAACUAUGUGCCAGCAGCCGCGGUAAUACAUAGGGUGCAAGCGUUGUCCGGAAUUAUUGGGCGUAAAGAGCUCGUAGGUCGUUUGUUACGUCGGAUGUGAAAACCUGAGGCUCAACCUCAGGCCUGCAUUCGAUACGGGCAAACUAGAGUUUGGUAGGGGAGACUGGAAUUCCUGGUGUAGCGGUGGAAUGCGCAGAUAUCAGGAGGAACACCAAUGGCGAAGGCAGGUCUCUGGGCCAAUACUGACACUGAGGAGCGAAAGUCUGGGGAGCGAACAGGAUUAGAUACCCUGGUAGUCCAGACCGUAAACGGUGGGCACUAGUUGUGGGGACCUUCCACGGUUUCUGCGACGCAGCUAACGCAUUAAGUGCCCCGCCUGGGGAGUACGAUCGCAAGNUUAAAACUCAAAGAUAGUAGGCGUGNGAGACGCGACGACGACGACGACGGAGGAG
rnacentral:rRNA from 1 species